UGUAUGUGCAGUUGUUUCUUAGGAUACAAACCUAACAUAAUCUCCUUUCUCUAAGCCACUUGGACAUCUGAACUAAGGAUUAAAACUCCUCUCUACUACUGCAGCAUUUAUUGCCCCUGCAGUUUCUGAAGCUACAUUGGACUGCAACAUAUUUCACAGCACACCUUCCUAUUACAAAAUCUUGCGCUCCCUUCUUGCCACAACUCCACUGGCACUUAGUGGUUGUUUCCUGAGUACAAGUCAACUAACCAGAAGAAAACCAAAGCAAAUACAAAGAGGAAAACAGGAUUGUAAAACCGGAAUUUAGCCACACCCCCUUUUGUGACAUCACUCUCUGUUCAUUCAGCUUCAGUACAGCCUACUCUGAUUCAGUGUGUCAGCAGCCUGUCAGCAAGUCUGAAAAGGAUUGUUUCCAUCUCUACAGCUAUCUGAUACAAGGUAAUUCAUACAUCAGAUGAUUCUGGUAUUGGCUCCUGUAAUGACUUCACCACCUGGUUUUAAAGACAACAUCAGCUGGGAGAUUACUUCAUCUAAUGACUGAAAGUGAAGAAUUCAAGACUGAAAGUGAAGAAUUCAACACUGAAAGUGAAGAGUUCAAGACUGAAAGUGAUGAAUCCCAGACUGAAAGUGAUGAAUCCGAGACUGAAAGUGAUGAAUACCAAUGUGAUCAUGUCUGGCAUUGUCUUUCAAAUGUGCUGACCUUGAAAACCAUACAAAGACACGUUCACGUGAUAUGGAUGUUGUUGCUGGAACCUCAAGCCCGUGUUCAUCACAGCAUGAUGUAGUUUAUGUGGCGAGCAUAGAGGAAUCCAGCAGCAAUGGUGAACAGCCUUUGCAGGCUUCUGAGAUUGAUGUAACAUGUGAGAUGGAGGAGGAAGUGGCUCCCUUGGAGUCUGAUG